GCAUUGGCCUCGCCUGGGGAUGCAGUUCUCUUUGAUAAGGUGAUAUCUACAACUUCAGAAACAACUAGUGAUACCAUGACAACCCCAAAGAAAAGUUUUGGACGCCGUUCAUCUCUUCUUGACAAGAUGCUGGCUGAGGAUGAAAUGGGAUCUCAUACUACCAAGGAAGUCAUUCCGGAUGCCAAGAGAAAUACUUUCUCAAGUGUUGACGGAUCAGUGAAACAACCAGAAAAGUCUCCAUUGACAAAUGGUAGUGCGCUUUCAGGAU
rnacentral:misc_RNA from 1 species